GCCCGCGUGGCGGAACCGGUAGACGCAGCGGACUUAAAAUCCGCCGGCCGAAGGCUGUGCCGGUUCAAAUCCGGCCGCGGGCACCA
rnacentral:tRNA from 1 species